UCAGAGUGUUGUUAUUCACCGAUCCGAAGAAGUUAUACUCUUUUAUGUUAGCCGCCAAUUUUAGAACCUUCAAAUCAAGUAACCAAGUCUCAAGCCACCACCACCUUCAUCAACUGAAUCAUCAAUGCACCUUGAUUUACAUUCAUGUGCCCGUUUACUACAAUCCUGCAACACCCACCAUUGUAUUCGACAAGGGAGACAACUCCACCUCCUAUUUCUCAAAAGGGGUGUCCUAGAUUCUGUCGUUACAAUCGGAAACCGCCUCCUACAAAUGUAUGCGAGGUGUGGCAACAUGAGCGAUGCACUGAAACUGUUUGAUGAUAUGACCCAAAGAAAUAGUUUUACUUGGAACACGAUGAUUGAAGGUUACAUGAAAUCCGGAAACAAGGACGUGUCUUUGGAGUUAUUCAAUUUCAUGCCGCACAAGAAUGAAUUCUCGUGGAAUGUAGUCAUUUCGGGGUUCUCGAAGGCCGGUGAGUUGGAGGUUGCUCGGGGCUUGUUCAAUGAGAUGCCGAGGAAAAAUGGGAUUGCAUGGAAUUCAAUUAUUCAUGGGUAUGCGAGCAAUGGGCAUCCAAGAGAAGCUGUGAGGCUGUUUAAGAGUUUGAAUUUUGAUCCGUAUGAAUUAUCUUGUGCAGAUACAUUUGUAUUGGCGACAGUUGCUGGUGCUUGUGCUGAUUUGGGGGCUCUUGAUUGGGGGAAGCAAAUUCAUGGUCGCAUCAUUACUGUUGAAGUGGGAUUUGACUCGGUCUUGGGAAGUUCACUUGUUAACAUGUAUGGUAAAUGCGGUGAUCUGGAUAGUGCUAACCAUGUGUUAAAUAUGAUGCAAGAACCAGAUGACUUCUCUUUAUCAGCCUUGAUAUCAGGAUAUGCAAAUUGUGGCAGAAUGAGUGAUGCAAGAAGAAUUUUUGAUUUUGUAAGUAAUCCAUGUGUUGUGUUAUGGAACUCCAUAAUUUCCAGUUACACUGCCAAUGACGGAGCAAAUGAGGCAUUACUUUUGUUCAAUAAGAUGCAGAAAAAUGGAGUUCCGGCAGAUGCUUCAACUUUUGCCAGUGUCUUUAGCGCCUGCACUAGCUUAGGGAUUUUUGAGAAUGUUAAGAAAAUGCAUGCUUUUACUUUUAAAGUUGGGGUUAUUGAUGACCUCAUUGUUGCUAGUGCUCUUGUUGAUACAUAUUCCAAGUGUGAAAGCCCUUAUGAGGCUUGCAAAUUAUUUGACGAGCUUGAAGUGUAUGACACAGUUUUGCUCAAUUGUAUGAUCACUGUGUACUCUAAUUGUGGUAGAAUUGAAGAUGCGAAAAGGAUCUUUGAGACUAUGCCAACUAAAAGCUUGAUCUCUUGGAAUUCAAUGAUAGUUGGUUUCAGUCAAAAUGGUUGUCCAAUUGAUGCACUAGAUAUUUUCUGCAAGAUGAACAAGACAGGAUUGGGCAUGGACAAAUUUGGCCUGGCCAGUGUGAUCAGUGCUUGUGCUAGCAUUUCUUCACUUGAACUUGGCGAACAGGUAUUUGCUCGAGCCAUUGGCAUCGGCCUGGAACUUGAUCAGAUCAUUUGUACCUCUCUUAUUGAUUUUUACUGUAAGUGUGGAUUUGUUCAUAAUGGACGCAAACUGUUUGACCAAAUGAUAAAAUCUGAUGAAGUUUCGUGGAAUUCUAUGUUAAUGGGCUAUGCUACAAAUGGUUUUGGUUUUGAAGCACUAAGUCUGUUCAAUGAAAUGAUUUCUGCUGGUGUUGGUCCUACUGGUAUCACAUUUACAGGGGUUUUAUCAGCCUGUGACCAUUGUGGACUGGUUGAAGAGGGAAAGAAAUGGUUUUAUGCGAUGAAAUGGGACUACCAUAUUGAUCCGGCGAUUGAGCACUACUCUUGCAUGGUUGAUCUCUUUGCUCGUGCUGGCUUCAUUGAAGAAGCUUUGAAUCUGAUUGAAGACAUGCCAUUUGAGGCAGAUGCAAGCAUGUGGUCGUCAGUUUUAAGGGGCUGUGUAGCUCAUGGAGAUAACACUCUUGCAAAGAAAGUGGCAGAGCGAAUCACUGGGCUUGAUCCCGAGAAUGCAGGUGCUUAUGUACAAUUAUCUAGCAUAUUUGCCGCUUCUGGUGACUGGGAAGGAUCAGCUCAAGUCAGGAAGUUGAUGAGGGAAAAGAGAAUACAGAAGAAUCCUGGUCGCAGUUGGGCUGAUACUUAAACUGAAAACUCUGAUGGUGGCAUAUUUUCUUGAAGUAAGGUGGUCCCUCUCUUCACCGAUCUGAAACAAGUCAAUUUUCAAAUCUUCAAACCAGUCAUUGUCAAGAUCAUGAGCUAUCAGUAGCCAUGAACUCAAGUGUCCAUUAUUCUCAGCCACUAAAAGUAUCAUGCAGGAGACUUUAAUCUUGUUUGGAGGAGACACAACCUUUAAAUGCAUCCUAUUAACCUGAAGCCCAUCCCCCAAUAAGAUUCUCUUCAAGUGAAGACUGUCCUCUUCAAGAAUUUUGAGGAAAAAGACUUUGCAUUGCUCAAUAGUGGUAUGUGAUAAUCUGAAAUCAGAACUGAAGCACAGCCAGUUCAAAUUGACAUCUCUUGUGUUUGCCACUUCAUAACCACUUUCUGCAAUUACAGUGCAAGGUUUUUCUUGAAAGCAACGCACUUUUAUGUCUUCAUUCUCAUUUUCCAGUGCUCUGGAAGCAUGGUUCUAACUGAGCCAUGAGUCUCUCCAGACAGGCUGAAGGGCUUGUUGGAGAUUGCCCCCAACUCAAGCAUAUACUCCACAGUUUUGAGGCUGAAUUCUGGUAACGUGACACUUCUUGAGAAUGGUUGAACCUUUACUACAAAAUCGCAUUGGAUAUAACUCGAAUGAAGACCUCAAUAAGUGUCAAGUAAGCAUGAAGUGAUCACUGGUAACGUGACACUUCUUGAGAAUGGUUGAACCUUUACUACAAAAUCGCAUUGGAUAUAACUCGAAUGAAGACCUCAAUAAGUGUCAAGUAAGCAUGAAGUGAUCAGCUCCUAGUCUUCACUCGAUGUUACCUGGAACAGAGAUGAUUAUGGUACAUGGAACAUCAACUCAAAUAUGGACUGAAAGAAGGGGUGCUGAAGAAGUGCAAGCUUUCUUCUCCAUAUACGUGGGUAGCUGCUUAAGUGCAUAACCAGUCAUAAUGGCGGGGAAGAAAAGAAAGGGUUGGGUCAGAUUAUUACAGCAUUACUUAUUUGUAGGCUUGGUUGGGAGACCGUAGAGGAGACGGUGGAAUUUGACAAGAAUUGAGUCCUGCCCUAUCACAAGUGGCAAGUUCUAGGGUGAAUCUCCCAGUAGAAUACGAGAAUGUUCUCGGUGUAGAUCUAGAGGAAAUGGAAUGAAGAUGAAUCCCCUCAAAUGCUUUCUGGGGGGCUUUGUUGGUCCCCUCUUGCCUUCUUAACAGCUGGUCACUCGUGUGGUACUUCAUUGUACGAUAUAUAUAUAUAAGAUCCAUCUGCAUAGAUAUCAUAGACCCACUCCCUCGCUUCCUAUUCAAAUUCUAUUUCUCUUUUUUUAUUCAGUCAAAUGGAUAAACAUUUAUUAUGACACCCAUCUGAAAAGGGGAAGGAAUGGGAAGGAUUUGAUAUGGAGUUUCAGUUUAUAAGAAAUUGUUUAUUAACCAUAUUUGCCCUAUGCUCAGACUGUCCAAUCCGACCGUUGUCACACUACAACAAAAGAUAGUUCUAGCAGCAAAAAUUUAGCACCAUUUAUGAAAAAAUGCUGUUAGAAAAUAUUUUUUCAACAGUACCAUGAGAACUUUUAGAAAAUGCUUCAUAUUUUCUUUUUUAUUUUCUCACUCCUCACUCUCUUUCGUAAUAAAUUUUUCUUUUUAUUUUCUUUUCUCACUCCUCACCCCAGUCCUCUUUCUCACUCUUCAUCAUAAACUUGUCGUUCUCUAACUCUAUUCCCAAAAUCAAUUCAUCGCACUCCAAAAGCAACAGCAACUCUUCAUGGAGCGAUGAUGUCUGCGUUUCCAAGUCCCAAUCUUCGUGGCCGGGAAUCAGACUCCAGCUUCGAGUCGAGAAUAUCCAGGGUUCUCUCACUCUAUCUGAUCAGAACUUCUCAAUCUAAGAGCGUCGUUUCCAUUUUCAAUGGAGAGCUUCGAUUCUAAUUCGGAGAGAAAUCCAAACCAAGCUGUUGAUUUGAUUAAUUGGUCUGUCCUAUUUGAUUUUGGAGCUAAAUCGAUCUGAUUCGCCUGCUUUGUUUCUCUCUGAUUCAAUCAGUAUUGCAGCAAAAGGAUCAGUGGGUUUGACACGGUACCUCCUGCUUCUCCAAUAACAGCCAGUGCUGUUGCUGCAACAGCUACUGUAGUGAAGGUUGUUAUUCUGCGUCCAAAUCCCAACAGCAAACCAUCCCCUGAGGUUGGAAAGGUGUAUACAUUUGGUCUGACUUUUCGAGCAGAUAAUUGGGACACUUCUAGUCACUUGACUGAAUUUUGGGUUGUACGUAGCGAACGAUGGUACUUAGAGGAUGACAAGGAUGAUACAUGGGGUCUCUUCUUUUUUUACGAUUUGAUGCAAAUCCUAAGAAUUUGAGACAUUAAAAAUUCUUUUAUUUUCUUUGUUAUUGAGACAUAGUUACACUCAUAAAUGCAUAGUAAUUCUUUUCUUUUUUUUUUGUUGACUUUGUUGUGGAUUGGGUUUAUUUGGUUAUUAAAUUUGGUUUAUGAAUGGAUUUACCUUGAUUAUAAAAUUUAAUUUUUUAAAAAAAAUUUGCUUCAUUUACAUGUAUUGUUAUGACCAUUUAAAAUAGUGUCAUUUUUCGUAACAUUCAUAUUUGCUACCAUAUUUUUCUUAGAUACAGCAGCAGAUACAAUUGCUACCAUGCUUGUUGCGACACAGGUUAUGACAAUAAAUACAAAUUCUUCCUAUAAAUGUUACUAAGUAGUUAUUGCAGCAAUUAUUUUAUUUAUUAAUUUUUUUUUUCUUUUAACGGCAAAUAAAAUUUUUGUUAGAGACCAUAAUUGUUGCAGUGGCCUGUGGUUGCAUUUGGACUCUUCCGGUACAUUGGAGAAAAUUAUCAACCAAAAUAAAAUAAAAUAAAAUAAAAUAAAAAAUUUAAAAUUACAACAUACGGUGAUAUUCCAAUGCCCUCUUUUAAGGUUUGGACAAAUUACACGUGGAUAGACCGUUAAGUGUUUAUUACU